rnacentral:rRNA from 1 species
CCUACGGGAGGCUGCAGUGAGGAAUAUUGGUCAAUGGGAGAGAUCCUGAACCAGCCAAGCCGCGUGAGGGAAGACGGCCCUAUGGGUUGUAAACCUCUUUUGUCGGAGAACAAAACCCGGGACGUGUCCCGGACUGCGUGUAUCCGAAGAAAAAGCAUCGGCUAACUCCGUGCCAGCAGCCGCGGUAAUACGGAGGAUGCGAGCGUUAUCCGGAUUUAUUGGGUUUAAAGGGUGCGUAGGCGGUCCGUUAAGUCAGCGGGAAAAUUGCGGGGCUCAACCCCGUCGAGCCGUUGAAACUGGCAGACUUGAGUUGGCGAGAAGUACGCGGAAUGUGCGGUGUAGCGGUGAAAUGCAUAGAUAUCGCGCAGAACUCCGAUUGCGAAGGCAGCGUACCGGCGCCAGACUGACGCUGAGGCACGAAAGCGUGGGGAUCGAACAGGAUUAGAUACCCCUGUAGUC